AUGCUGCUGCUGAAGAGGUUUGAGUUUGACUACCAGUACAUGACGUAUGUCAAAAUCAACCAAACUGUGAAAGUUCCCUUCACCCUUCAGAUACCAGAGAAUCAGACGUAUGAACUGUACGCGGUUGUGGAUCAUGUUGGAGAUCUGAGAGGUGGACAUUACACUGCAACAAUCAGACCGCAGGACGAUGAGAAAUGGUACCACUUUGAUGAUACAAGGGUCUCAUUGAUGGACUACCAGCCCUUUCAGGUGGAUAACUUUAAGACAUCCACCCACGCUUAUCUGCUUUUCUACAGGAUGAAGAAAGUGGAAGCUGCUGAUACUUGUACUCAGAAUAUCAGAGAGAUGUCUCCUGCUAGAGGCGUCCCAAAAAAAACUCCACUUGGAGAAAAUAGCAAUGAUCCGUGUGAUAGCAAUAUCAGAAAAGAUGAUGUUAUACACAGGAGACCACAGGAGGUUCUGCAGGGCGAUGAUAGCAUUCAAUUCAACCAAGCUGGUAAGAGUAAACAAAACAAGCCAAAAGAUCAACAGCAUAAACAGCAACAAAAGAGAAGAGUUGAUGAGCAUGUACAAUGGAAGGGAGCAUCAGACAGACGAGAACAGGAUCAGAAUGGAAGUUCAGAGCAUUGUACAUCACAGAAAGCAGUAAAAAGAGCUAAAGGAGACAAUGUUGAGGGAGCAGACUCUUCUCUUAGGAGAACAGGAAGUAGCAGCGUGGCGGACAACAGAGGAGAUGGCCGUGUCAAAAAGUCUCAACCAUCAGAAGUGAGAACUGGAUUUAGUGAGGAUGCUGUGGAAGGAACACAUAAUUCAAAGAAGUCAAAAUCAAAUCAUGGAAAGAUAAUUGCGGAUGAAACCAUGAAUGGUGUUCAAGAGAUCACUUUUACAAGGAACAAACAAAUAACAACUGUAGAAGGAAGCUCUCAAGGCAGCAUUAAGAAUUUGGUAGAACAUGAUGAAGGAAAUGCUAAAAUCGAAUCUGAUCCAAAGACAGAUGCAACGGUCACAUUGCCAGAGGCUUUUUGCUUUUUAAAACUGAAUGUCUCGCCUUUAACAGCGUCACAGAAACGCAAAAACAAAAUAAAAAAGAGAAAGAAUGAGAGAGAACAUGUUGGGAAAAAACGUGCUGUGAAAGAGAAAGCUGAGAAGAGAAGAUUCUUGAGGCGUCGCUCUUCCCUUCUGGUGAAAAACAGAAAAAAAAAUAUUUGUGGGUGUUUUUGUUUUUCGCGGAAAAGCCGAAAAACGGCAGAGUGAGACUAAGAAGUUUCAAUGUAUUGAUGAUCGGUGGUGCUGGUUUCUGUUUCCUUUUCAAUGCAAGAAAAUAAAGUCUCAAAGAUCUAUUGCAGCAGUCGGAAAUGGGUUAAUGUAAUGUUUUGAAAAUUGACUCAUAAAUGUUUAAAUUCAAGGAACAAACAGAUGAUAUAUGUGGAUUGAAAGAUCAAAGUUUUGAUGGUUGUUUCUUGCUAUGCUAUUACCCUUUUAAUUUUUAAAUCUCUCUGUCAAGUUGUUGAGAAAUUUUAUUGAGCAAUUUCACUGAAUGCAACAUAUAUCGAAUUUACAUUUUAGAGUGAGAAGUCAAAUGGUCUUUGUAUGGAUAUUUUCUUUUUUUAUUGAACUGUUGAGUGCUACUUUUAUUUAAUUAGGCCUUUUGCUUCUACUUUAACAAAGAAAAGGGGAUUUUAUUUUAGGAUGGACAUUGAAGUAAAAUAACAAUAAUAACAUUUUAAGAAAAAGUUGUGAAUCAUAUAAAUAUGUUGGAUAUUGCAUUGGAUAAUAUUAAAUAUUAAAUGUCAUUUAGCUGACGCUUUUAUCCAAAGCGAUCUACAAUAAGUGCAUUUCAACUAUAAGGAUACAAACUCAGAAGAACAAGAAAGUGCAAUUUCAUUAAGUAAGCCAAUCGACAUCCUUCUAUAGAUAAGAGCUAUUAUAGGUACAAUUUAAGUGCUACAAUUUGUUGUUGGCUUUUAGUCGAGGUAGAGUCUGAAGAGGUGUGUCUUUAGUUUGCGGUAGAAGAUGUGAAGGCUCUCUGCGGUCUAGUGGGGACUGGUAUUGAUCACCUGCUCUGUGAGUCUGUGUUCAGGAUUAUUUGUCAUCCUCCUUUUUCUAUCAACUUUCUUCAUGUUGUUCUUCUGGUUUAACCUCACCUAUGUGCAUCAUGUACAGCAGAGUAUUUGGAAGAUUCUGUGUUUGAUCAGUCUAGGGUCCAAAUGGAAGUUUUGUAUGGAUAUUUCUUUGGUUUACUUAUUUAACUGUUGUGUUUGCUUAGUGCACAAUUACUGUAUUACUGCACUGCCCGCUGAUUCAUAUCAUAGAUGCUUUAGAUUGAUGUUUGUAACUUUGAACCAAACUAUUCUGAUAAUUUGUGAAAUUUGUCAGAUUCUGCUGGUGAUUUUAAGAGAAUAAAGGUAAAAUAAAAAUAAAAAGAGCUUAUGAAAUAUA
ensembl:lncRNA